GUACUUGCUUCGGCAGCACAUAUACUAAAAUUGGACUGAUACAGAGAAGGUUAACAUGGUUCCUGUGCAGGGUGACAUGCAAAUUCGUGAAGUGUUCCAUAUUUUU